rnacentral:misc_RNA from 1 species
AACGCACAUUGCGCCCCCUGGUAUUCCGGGGGGCAUGCCCGUUCGAGCGUCAUUACACCACUCCAGCCUCGCUGGGUAUUGGGCGUCUCGGAGGAGCAAUCCACGCGCGCCUCAAAUCUUCCGGCUGGUUCGAAUCGUCCCUCAGCGUUGUGGAAACUAUUCGCUAAAGGUGCGCGUUUCGGUCACGCCGUUAAACAAGCCAAUUUCAUUAAAGGUUGACCUCGGAUCAGGUAGGGAUACCCGCUGAACUUAA